rnacentral:misc_RNA from 1 species
CGAGCGUCAUUACAAACCUUCAAGCUCUGCUUGGUCUUGGGCUUCGCCGCCAACCCGGCGGGCCUUAAAAUUAGUGGCGGUGCGUCGUGGCCCUGAGCGUAGUAAAUAUCCUCGCUAUAGGGACUCGGUGGCUGCUGGCCAACAACUCCCAACUUUUCAAGUUUGACCUCGGAUCAGGUAGGGAUACCCGCUGAACUUAA